rnacentral:rRNA from 1 species
AUUGAACGCUGGCGGCAGGCUUAACACAUGCAAGUCGAGCGGGGUGAUGGUGCUUGCACUAUCACUUAGCGGCGGACGGGUGAGUAAUGCUUAGGAAUCUGCCUAUUAGUGGGGGACAACAUCUCGAAAGGGAUGCUAAUACCGCAUACGUCCUACGGGAGAAAGCAGGGGAUCACUUGUGACCUUGCGCUAAUAGAUGAGCCUAAGUCGGAUUAGCUAGUUGGUGGGGUAAAGGCCUACCAAGGCGACGAUCUGUAGCGGGUCUGAGAGGUUGAUCCGCCAAACGGGGACUGAGACACGGCCCAGACUCCUACGGGAGGCAGCAGUGGGGAAUAUUGGACAAUGGGGGGAACCCUGAUCCAGCCAUGCCGCGUGUGUGAAGAAGGCCUUAUGGUUGUAAAGCACUUUAAGCGAGGAGGAGGCUCUUUUGGUUAAUACCCAAGAUGAGUGGACGUUACUCGCAGAAUAAGCACCGGCUAACUCUGUGCCAGCCGCCGCGGUAA